rnacentral:misc_RNA from 1 species
AAGUCGUAACAAGGUUUCCGUAGGUGAACCUGCGGAAGGAUCAUUAGUGAAUGAGACCUCUGGUUUCAAACACCGUUGCAUUUCAGCUGUGCGCUCUCGGGCUGCACGCUGCAAUGUGACAUAUUCACAACACACCUGUGCACCUUUCAGAUGUCUGGGGUUGAAAAGCCCCGGCGUUUGCCCUUCACACAAAAUACAGUCUUUGAAUGUCUUAAAAUCAUAUAAAUACAACUUUCAACAACGGAUCUCUUGGCUCUC